UUUCACACACUGGAAUAAAUUAACAAUGGUGUGGAAAAAAGUGUUCUUCAUUCAAUGCCUAUAAGCCAGUCGACAGUGAAUUUAGAUUUUGACGUUAGGCAGGUGAUUGUGCAUUUUUUUUUCAUUUGUCUACAGUGGAACAGCUGUGUUGAUGACCAUGCAGUUUAUGUUGCUUUUUAGUCGUCAGGGGAAGCUGAGACUUCAGAAGUGGUAUGUCCCAUUGUCUGACAAAGAGAAGAAAAAAAUAACAAGAGAACUUGUUCAGACAGUGCUAGCUCGUAAACCGAAAAUGUGCAGCUUCCUGGAGUGGAGAGACCUGAAGAUUGUCUACAAAAGAUAUGCAAGUCUUUACUUUUGCUGUGCUAUUGAAGAUCAGGACAAUGAACUGAUAACCCUGGAAAUAAUUCAUCGUUAUGUGGAACUACUUGACAAGUAUUUUGGCAGUGUGUGUGAACUUGAUAUCAUCUUUAAUUUUGAAAAGGCUUAUUUUAUUCUGGAUGAGUUCCUGUUGGGAGGGGAAGUUCAGGAGACCUCCAAGAAAAAUGUUCUCAAAGCCAUUGAGCAGGCAGAUCUGUUACAAGAGAGCCAGAAUGAAGACUGGGGAGGUUUGUCUGAGGAUAUCUUAUGAUUAAGAACAGUCUAAGGCUUUAUCCCUUUUGAGCUCCCCAUCUAAAUUGGAUGCUAAAGAAGCUGAGACCCCACGUAGUGUACUUGAAGAAAUUGGACUCACAUAAAUCUUCUCCUCUGGCGUUUCCUGGGUGUUUCACAUACUGUAAAUGUUCACUGCCAUCAUUUUAAUGUUUAGCUAAUGGUGUAAGAUGCUGUCUGUCAGUAUUACUGUUUUGCUAAGUUGCUUCAUUUGGGCCUACAAAGUAAUAUACCACUUAUAGGUUUAAAAAGGGAAGAAAAAUUUAAGCCUCCAAAAAGGAUAAAAGAAAGGGAUUUCAGUUUACAAUGAGUAAUUCCAGACUCUCUCUUUGGUGCAUCUGAGAAAAUCAUAGGUGAUGACUUCUGUAAUUAAACUGUUCUAUAAGCAACUGUGAAUCGGCUUCAGUGCAUUAUAUCAUUUUAACAGAAAGGAAAGUAUUUGUGACAACUUCAGUAAUUAUAUCAUGUUUAACAGGAAGAAAAGUAUACGUGUCAACUUUAAAUGUGAAAUGUAACAACAUGGAAUUUGGUUUUAUGCAACCAAAGACUUAUUUGUUCAUCUACAUUUUGACAGCAUUUGUGAAAAUUGUUUUUUCAGUUAAUACAGAAAGAUUGGGAAUUAGCUGCUUACUGUGGAUUUUUUUCAUUAUACCAAAGAACCCUAUUAUGAGCUGUAUAUAAAACUGGUAUGAGCUGUUAAGGUGUUUUCAUUUUUAGCAAUGGGUCUGUAACCAGACCACUUGAUAGACAUGAAAGUAUUCAAUACAAAGAUUUUACACAAAACUGCAUGAGUUAGUUAACUUAAUACAAAGGGAAUGCAAGUUGUAAGAAGUAAGUUUUAUAUUGGAAUCAUCCUGUUUUUAACUCCAGUAUUAUUGCUUUAACCACUGUGAACUUACACCUAGAUUAUGGACUUUGCCCUUCUUACUGUUCAGAUGAGUAGAUAUAUAAUGUAAAAUAUGGUGGGGGUAGCACUUGAAAUCAUGGUGAGGAGAGGGGCUGACUUAAAGGGAAAGUUACAAAUGUGCAAUUUAAAAGAGAGAAAAGAUGGGUGAGGCAAGAUAUUUCAUUGGACCAAUUUCUGUUGGUGAAAGAGACAAGUUUUUGAGCUAACUACACUGAGGUCUUUUCUAGGUCUGUGAAAUGUACUCUGAGGGCCACAGCAAAUACAAGGUGGACCAGAUUGUUUAGUAGUAAACAGUUAACCUAUAUUGGAAAGGAUUAUUCAACUUAAAGGGUCUCAUUAAUACCCCUCCAGGCCUAAGGUGAAAAAGAAGCAGGCAGAAGACCACUGAGAGAGGGCUUACAUUUAUAACUUUGCUACACAUUAAAAAUCAUGGACUGAUCAGACAUUGAAUUUAUAGCUUAGAACAAUAAUCUAUAUCCACUAACAACCCCCCUACCCAGUUAGCUUCUCUACCUUUCUCCCCCUUCUCACCCCUAAGAACGAGGGGCGCGUUAACAGGCUGUCACUUUGAAUCCUCCUUGAAAUGUAACAACUACUUAUGCAAAAUAUUCUGUUCCACGUUGUAUUUAGCUGUGACCCUCUGUGUACAUUUCUCACACCUGAAUAAGAGCUCAGUGUAAAAUCAUAAGCAUUUUUCUCUCACACUGAUAGUUGGUCCAAUAAAAGGUAUAAUCUCACCCACCUUGUGUCUCUAAUAUUCUGUGACAGACAUGGCUGCAACACUUCAUGUAACAAUUUAGAAGUUCUUGUUUUGAUUCCUAGAAACAAGACUAAUGGCAUUGCAUUUACUGCUGUAUUAUUAUGUUCAAUGGUGGCAUAAGCACCUAUUUAAAAUCUUUUAAUAAUCUAUUUCAUUAAUAGAUCUUUUUAAUUAAUGUCCUGAUUGUCACCAUACCUGCAGGUGACAUCAUUGUUAAACUACUAAGCUUAAAGAAACACCAGUGUUUGUUUACAGUAGAACCAAAUUAAUUUACACUAUUUGAAAAUUAGUGAGUUUCAGCAUGUAAAUGAACAAAUCAAGGAUAAUACACCAUAAAAUGUACUUCAUUUAUUUUGACAGUUGCGUAUUACAAUAUAGUCUACACUUCCGAGUAUUUACUCCGAAACCUCUGUACAGAACUCUGUUCUGUUACUGAGAAAACCAGUGCCAUUUUUUUCUGCAAAUUACAUAUGAAGUACACAGUAGAACUUUGCUGUAUCUUCAGUGAUCACAAGGUGAGUGGUUUUUUUUAAGCUUGCUGUUAUGUUGGAACUGACCAGGACUCCCUCACAUUUCAGUUUGCACACUUGAUGUGAGCAGUACCACACAUGUACAGUAUUGAUUUCCGUUCAUUUACAGAACACAGGCCUCUCAGAUCACUAGAAUAUCAUAUUUGUAUCAGGUACACAAGAGCCCUGUUUUGUAUUUCACUCAUGUAGAAUGUGCAAAAAAGAGGAGGUACAGCUAGUAUCGGGAUGGCCUGUUGUUUGUGCUGUCAAAAUGAUUCUUUAAUUUAAAGUGUCAACCCUAAAGCAGUUUUAUGUGUGUUUUAAAAAACCUGUUUCUAAGGUUUGUCACUUGUAUGUGCUAGGCUGAAUUAAGCUUUGUUGUGAUUGUCUCAAAACCUGUGACCAUUGUCUUAGUAUCACAUCAAUUUAAUUGUAAUAAAUGCUCAUUUUUACACCAUUGCUAUGUGCUUAUAUAUAAUCAGAGGUUUAAUAUUUUUCCUGAGGAGAAAAAGGAUAGGCAAAUCUUUUAGUGAAAGGUAAAAAUAAUGUACAGUGAAACUACACUAUAGCACUUGAGUUGCAUCAAACUUUAUUAAAAAUGUUUAAAGUUUA